rnacentral:rRNA from 1 species
GACGAACGCUGGCGGCGUGCUUAACACAUGCAAGUCGAACGGAAAGGCCCUGCUUUUGUGGGGUGCUCGAGUGGCGAACGGGUGAGUAACACGUGAGUAACCUGCCCUUGACUUUGGGAUAACUUUAGGAAACUGGGGCUAAUACCGGAUAGGAGCUCCUGCUGCAUGGUGGGGGUUGGAAAGUUUCGGCGGUUGGGGAUGGACUCGCGGCUUAUCAGCUUGUUGGUGGGGUAGUGGCUUACCAAGGCUUUGACGGGUAGCCGGCCUGAGGGGGUGACCGGCCACAUUGGGACUGAGAUACGGCCCAGACUCCUACGGGAGGCAGCAGUGGGGAAUAUUGCACAAUGGGCGGAAGCCUGAUGCAGCAACGCCGCGUGCGGGAUGACGGCCUUCGGGUUGUAAACCGCUUUCGCCUGUGACGAAGCGUGAGUGACGGUAAUGGGUAAAGAAGCACCGGCUAACUACGUG